rnacentral:lncRNA from 1 species
CGAUCACGCAGGCAGCGCUUCCCCCAUUUAUCCCCUCGCGUUCCUCUGUUUCUCCUCGCGCCUUUCGUUUUUCUGCUGCUUUUCACGUGUUAUUUUCGGUUCCCUUGCAGCCUUGUCCCACUCUCCCUCCCACAGUCUCUGGCCUUGUCCGCCGGUCCUCUGCUGCCCUCGUGUGGCUCUAGGUGGAAAGGCAGCUUCCCCAGCCCCACCCAAGGUGCGGCUGGGGAUGGAGCUGGAGAUGAGCGCGAGGGGAUCCAGGUGUGGAUGGUCGGCACGGGUUUGGCUCCGCGCCUUUGACCUGAAUCUCACAAAGUCACCAAGUUGCCCAGGCCGGGCUAGAACUUGUGAGCCUCCUGCCUGAGGCCUUUCCAGAGUGCUUUCCAACGUGCUGGGGUUACAAGUGGGCACCACUGUGCUCAGGUUUAGAAGUUUCAGUCCAUGAUUGGUUGACCUGGUUGCUUUGGGCCUGGUGAGAGGCACCACAUCACGGCAGGUAAGUGUGGUACAGCAAAGCUGCUCACUUCAUGGUCAGGACAAAAGAAGAAAAGAGGAAGGGACUGGACUUCCACAAUCCCCUCUGAGACCAUGCCCCCAAAGACCUAAAGACCUCCCAUUACACCCGACCUUUCAAGGUUUCCAACACCUCCAAGAGUGCCAAGCUGGGGACCACAUCUUUACCACAUAGACCUCUGGGUCCCAUUCCAGAUCCCAACAGUAUCAGGCAGCAUAAAUAAAAAUUUCAGUAGAGCCAGGGAUUUAGCUCAGUGGCACUGUGCCUGCCUCACAAAUGCAAGAUCCUUGAGUUCAAUACCCGAUAUAUAUAUUUCAAUAGGGCUGGGGAUUUAGCUCAGUGGUUCUGGCACCUGCCUCGCAAGUGCAAGGUCCCGAGUUUGAUCCCUGGUACCAAAAAAACUCCAACAACACACAUAUAUAUAUUUCAAUAGAAAGGUUGUAAAAUAAAGCUGAGGGAAUGUCCAAAAUGGUGAAGCAAUUGGACAGAUGGAAAAUAUACAAGCAAAAAUAAAACAAGUUAGAGUUCCAAAUUCCAGA